rnacentral:rRNA from 1 species
CCUACGGGUGGCAGCAGUGGGGAAUAUUGCACAAUGGGCGAAAGCCUGAUGCAGCAACGCCGCGUGAGCGAUGAAGGCCUUCGGGUCGUAAAGCUCUGUCCUCAAGGAAGAUAAUGACGGUACUGGAGGAGGAAGCCCCGGCUAACUACGUGCCAGCAGCCGCGGUACUACGUAGGGGGCUAGCGUUAUCCGGAGUUACUGGGCGAAAAGGGUGCGGAGGUGGUUUCUUAAGUCAGAGGUGAAAGGCUACGGCUCAAGCGUAGUAAGCCUUUGAAACUGGGGAACUUGAGUGCAGGAGAGGAGAGUGGAAUUCCUAGUGUAGCGGUGAAAUGCGUAGAUAUUAGGAGGAACACCAGUUGCGAAGGCGGCUCUCUGGACUGUAACUGACACUGAGGCACGAAAGCGUGGGGAGCAAACAGGAUUAGAUACCCUGGUAGUC